UCCCUGCCCACAGACCACUGCCCCGGCCCCCCCAACACACAUCACUUUGCCGGUGUGUGUGCACAGGCAGAUCUUGCUUGAGCACCCGAUUCAUAAAGCAAGUUCUUAGAGACCUUCAAAGAGAUGUAGAGUUCUACACCAUAAUAGUGGGAGAGCUUAACACCCCACUGACAGUAUUAGAAAGAUCAUCAAGGCAAAAUCAAAGCUGAAUGGCAGGAGAUUGAGACACGAAAAACCAUUCAAAAC
rnacentral:lncRNA from 1 species